rnacentral:tRNA from 1 species
GCUGGGGUAGCUCAGGGGUAGAGCAAUUCAUUGGUAAUGAAUAGGUCGGAGGUUCAAUUCCUCUCCUCAGCACCA